rnacentral:rRNA from 4 species
GUGGAGCCUGCGGCUUAAUUUGACUCAACACGGGAAACCUCACCAGGCCCGGACACCAGAAGGAUUGACAGAUUAAGAGCUCUUUCUCGAUUUGGUGGGUGGUGGUGCAUGGCCGUUCUUAGUUGGUGGAGUGAUUUGUCUGGUUAAUUCCGGUAACGAACGAGACUCUGGCCUACUAAAUAGUCGACGGGCGUUUUGGUGCAUGGGCCCCGUUCGACACAGUCUUCUUAGAGGGAUGAGCAGCGAGUAUAGCUGCAGGAGAUUGAGCAAUAACAGGUCUGUGAUGCCCUUAGAUGUCCUGGGCCGCACGCGCGCUACACUGAAUGGGUUAGCGGGUUGUCCUUCUCCGAGAGGAGCGGGAAAUCGCUUGAAAACCAUUCGUGAUAGGGAUUGGGGCUUGCAAUUGUUUCCCAUGAACGAGGAAUUCCCAGUAAGCGCAAGUCAUCAGCUUGCGUUGAUUAAGUCCCUGCCCUUUGUACACACCGCCCGUCGCUACUACCGAUUGAAUGAUUUAGUGAGGCCUUCGGACUGGCGGUCUUGGACUGGGGCGCCGGCGUUCUCCAGCAAUGGGGUGCCGGCGACCCGCCUAGACGGGCCGGAAAGAUGUCCAAACUUGAUCAUUUAGAGGAAGUAAAAGUCGUAACAAGGUUUCC